AUUGAACGCUGGCGGCAGGCCUAACACAUGCAAGUCGAGCGAGCGGCGGACGGGUGAGUAAUGUCUGGGAAACUGCCUGAUGGAGGGGGAUAACUACUGGAAACGGUAGCUAAUACCGCAUACCAUCAGAUGUGCCCCGAUGGGAUUAGCUCGUAGGUGGGGUAACGGCUCACCUAGGCGACGAUCCCUAGCUGGUCUGAGAGGAUGACGAGCAACACGGGAACGGAGAAACGGUCCAGAUUCCUACGGGAGGCAGCAGUGGGGAAUAUUGCACAAUGGGCGCAAGCCGGACGCAGCCAUGCGGCGGGUUUGAAGAAGGCCUUCGGGUGGUAAAGCACUUUCAGCGGGGAGGCGGUACCCGCAGAAGAAGCACCGGCUAACUCCGUGCCAGCAGCCGCGGUAAUUC
rnacentral:rRNA from 1 species